UGUGCCAGCCGCCGCGGUAAUACCGGCAGCUCAAGUGAUGUCCCAUAUUAUUGGGCCUAAAGCGUCCGUAGCUGGCUGCGCAAGUCCGUCGGGAAAUCCACUCGCCCAACGAGUGGGCGACCGGCGGAAACUGUUCGGCUUGGGGCCGGAGGACCCGAGGGGUACGUCCGGGGUAGGAGUGAAAUCCUGUAAUCCUGGACGGACCGCCGGUGGCGAAAGCGCCUCGGGAGGACGGACCCGACGGUGAGGGACGAAAGCCAGGGUCUCGAACCGGAUUAGAAACCCGAGUAGUCC
rnacentral:rRNA from 1 species